ensembl:lncRNA
CAGGUCUUGGUGUGGACAGAAAAAUCCAUCGCAUGUAGCUGCAAUUACACUGGGACUCAGAAGAUUAGAAGAUGCUUUGCUCUCCUGCUCCUGCUUGCUAGAAUGGAAGAGGUCAUCUAUUUUUAAAGUACUUGGCAGAGGCCAUACCAUCUCUAUUUGUGUCAAUUCCCAGCAGACCAGCACAGGCACUGCAGAUGUGAUACAUCGACUUCAUCACUGUCUGCUCCUCUUGGCAUGGCCAGAUCAUCAGGUUAUCUUCUACUUGCCUGUUUCCAUGGAAGUCAGCUCUCUUUGGGAUGGCUUACUUCAGCUUCAGCAGCUUUCCAGACCACAUCUGGGGGUUAACACACCACUUCCACUGAGUGUCACCUUCUUGGAGCAUUAAAUAUUCCCAAGUCAGGACAACCAGAUAAUGCACAAGAGGAUUCUAAAAGCUCCCUGAAGAUUUCUCUGGAGAGUUGAUGCCAAUUUUGAAUAAAAUUUGAAAAAACAGGUUGCAAACUUUGUGCUGGCUCUUGUAAAGUGUGAAUGGGACAACAGAGGCACCUGUCGAUCUGCUGCAAUACAAUGCAGGAUGUGGUGAGUGCAAAAUUAACCAG